AAAACAUAACUCAGCAGCUCUGACUCUGGAGGGGAGUAGAGAUACACCUCAUCAACAGAAAUGCUUUUGAUUUUAAUCAUGUUUUCUGUGUUUGUAAUAAACUAAACCAAAACAUGGAAUGAAGUGUUUCCAAAGCAGGGAUGUCUGAAUCCUUAUUUUAUCUUCAGGUGUUGCAGUCCUGGCUCAGCCUGAACGUUGUUGGUUUGCUCGUGUGGCAUUAAGUUGGUCACAGACUUUCUGUAAGCCUCCUUUGAUCGUGUUUCUUUCCAUGCCAGUUUCCCAAUAUGCAGAAAGGUUGGACAGCUGAAUCAGGGUGGGUGUAAUUCCCAGGCUCCCAGGAGUCCACAGCAGGAUUUGUAUCAUCCAGUAUACUACAAAAACACAGUUUGGCAGAUGCCCACAUUUGCUGACACAAGAAGGUGCCCCAGGAAUCAAGAGGACAAGUGACGAUAUAUUUGAUGCAGACACCAAGGAAGACCACGCAGUCAUCCACAGAGCCUUCAGCCCCCCAGCAUCUCAUGGCCAUCUCAGGAGCAGGGGCUGGCUGCGCUUUUCACAGCAAGGGGCAGGAUCCUGCCCUGGGUGCAUGGGACCAGACCUCCACUGGGAACAAAAUGAAGGUCUGCCGGAAUUAAUCCUGGGCUUCGUUAUCACUCCUGCACAUCACUGCGCUUUGUGGCUGGCCUGGGCCAGCUAACUGCGCCGCAAAAGUGUGUGAAGAAAGAUGGUAUCAGCCUCUAUCUGUCUAAGCCAGAAACAGGCAAUACCAGAAAAGCCUGUCUUGUCCAAUUUCCAGUUCAGCUUUGCAGACUCGAGAAGUGCAGAUAGUUUGGACAUGCUUUAGAUAAGAAGCUGAAUAUCUGGGCGUUUUCCUGAGCACAGAACGCUACGCUUCAUACAGUUUACUAAAUUGUGUCACUAAAUUUUUAUCCUUCCUGGUAAUAGACUUUUUUUUUUUUUUUUUUUCCUUCAGUGUUUCUUUUCCCUCCCUCCCAGCCACAUUGUUGGUAAAUGCACAAAUAUAUGCAUACAACCAUCAGCGUACACACUCUGGUUGCCUUAGUACCAAACUGUGCAUCUUUGCUCAGUGCGCUCAGCUUCUUCAGAAACAAAACUGUGAAGUCAAGAGCAGGGGUGCAGCUGCUCACAUGCUCACAAAGCUCCGGGCCCAAUGUGAGAAUUCACUUUUAAACACAUGAUGAAAAAACAGCUCUUGCCUCCUUGUCUUUGUAGAAAAAUCC
rnacentral:lncRNA from 1 species